GACGGGGGAUGCAAGUGUUAUCCGGAAUCACUGGGCGUAAAGCGUCUGCAGGUGGUUUCCUAAGUCCACUGUUAAACCUUGAGGCUCAACCUCAAAUCUGCAUUGGAAACUAGGAGACUUGAGUAUAGUAGGGGUAGACGGAAUUUCCAGUGGAGCGGUGAAAUGCGUAGAUAUUGGAAAGAACACCGAUGGCGAAGGCACUCUACUGGGCUAUUACUGACACUCAGAGACGAAAGCUAGGGGAGCAAAUGGG
rnacentral:rRNA from 1 species